UCCUUUGUAGUACAGUGGUUAGUAUGUGCGCUUUUCAACUGUAUUCGUUACAACGAUUACGCGCCAGACCCGAGUUCGAACCUCGGCAAGGGAA